rnacentral:lncRNA from 10 species
UUUCUUACGACAACAUGGCUUUCUGCCCUGGCACCAGAGAGAUGAGAGGAGAAACCUGACAAUAUCCCCAGCCUGAGCCAUCACCAGACUCCAUCCUCCUGAGUGCCCCUGAACCAGCAUCACCGCUGAACACUCUGGAAGACCUACAGAAACUGAGAGAAGGUUCUGCAAAGAGCUGUAAGGAUGCACUGAAUAUUUGCCGUUGCGGAUGAGGCUGCUGGAGCAUUGGAGAUCCAUUCAUCAUGCCAAAGUGUAGCUCAGGGAGUCACCUCCAUGGAAAAUGUGUGCUUUCCAAACGUGGCUACCAGGUCGUUGUGGAAUUCCAUCCAGAAGCACCUUGUUCUUCCAUCGCCAUCAUUCUGGACAAGGCAGAAUCCACAUUCCCCAUAUUACUAACUUUAAAGCAGAAAUGUUACGCCUUUGCCUGUAAUUGAAAUUGUAGUCAUUUGAAAAUCAAAUAUUGCUAAAAUUUGAUGUUAGAGGGAUAGAUGAUCAAUAAUUGGGUUGAAAGAAUACUGUCUCUCAUUAAGCAAAAUGAAAAUGUUUUCAGAGAUUUGUGAAAUGUUUUGCUAUGAAGACUUUUCACUGCAAAGCACCCACUUUGUUUAAAGCAAUAAGGCAACGUGCUGGAUGAACGUAAAGAAGUUUUCAACACAGAACUUCACAAUAAAAAUGGUAAGAAAUGCACACAAACCAUGGAAAUCAAGUGCUGUAAGAGUGUGUUUUAUAAAAGUGGCUGAAGGAAAUGCUUUGGACAUUUCUAUUAAUUAUAGCCAAUGUUCAUGGAUCUGUAUGCUGAGUACACACCUAGGCAUUUGCAUUUCAUUAUUUCUUUGAACUCUUUCAAAAGCCCUGAGGUCUUUAUGAUUAUCUCCAUUUCACAAAUGAUGAUACAGAGGAACAGGGAAAGCAAGUGAU